rnacentral:lncRNA from 1 species
CAAAAAGUCAAGGCAACUGAGGGAUGCACACAGCAUCAUCCAGGCCUCCAUGUGCAGCCGGAGUUGAGCAGGGAAGACUGGGAGGGUCACUUUCUCCACAUGAACGUGUGCAGCUGCCCAGGAAUUCACAGGAUGGAUCAGGGUUGGUUUAUUCUGCUGGGAAGCACCAGUUCCAUGAGGAGGAGGAGGCAGCAGGAGGCUCUGCCCUGGAGCCCUCAGCCACAACCUUCGGAUUGCCCUCAGCGGCCGUCCUCUACGGAACUGCAUGGCCUUUCCUGGCUCCAUGGCCCUGGUUCCAGCCAGAUUCGGGGCUCUCAGGGUGCAGAUGA